CUGGCGGCAGGCCUAACACAUGCAAGUCGAGCGGUAGAGAGAAGCUUGCUUCUCUUGAGAGCGGCGGACGGGUGAGUAAUGCCUAGGAAUCUGCCUGGUAGUGGGGGAUAACGUUCGGAAACGGACGCUAAUACCGCAUACGUCCUACGGGAGAAAGCAGGGGACCUUCGGGCCUUGCGCUAUCAGAUGAGCCUAGGUCGGAUUAGCUAGUUGGUGAGGUAAUGGCUCACCAAGGCGACGAUCCGUAACUGGUCUGAGAGGAUGAUCAGUCACACUGGAACUGAGACACGGUCCAGACUCCUACGGGAGGCAGCAGUGGGGAAUAUUGGACAAUGGGCGAAAGCCUGAUCCAGCCAUGCCGCGUGUGUGAAGAAGGUCUUCGGAUUGUAAAGCACUUUAAGUUGGGAGGAAGGGUUGUAGAUUAAUACUCUGCAAUUUUGACGUUACCGACAGAAUAAGCACCGGCUAACUCUGUGCCAGCAGCCGCGGUAAUACAGAGGGUGCAAGCGUUAAUCGGAAUUACUGGGCGUAAAGCGCGCGUAGGUGGUUUGUUAAGUUGGAUGUGAAAUCCCCGGGCUCAACCUGGGAACUGCAUUCAAAACCGACUGACUAGAGUAUGGUAGAGGGUGGUGGAAUUUCCUGUGUAGCGGUGAAAUGCGUAGAUAUAGGAAGGAACACCAGUGGCGAAGGCGACCAUCUGGACUAAUACUGACACUGAGGUGCGAAAGCGUGGGGAGCAAACAGGAUUAGAUACCCUGGUAGUCC
rnacentral:rRNA from 1 species